GUAAGGCCCUAGGGGAGUUCAAGCGAACUGAGAUGAUUCCUCGGAAUCAGACCCUUUGAACCUGAUCCGGUUCACACCGGCGUAGGAAAGCGGCUCGCGAGAUUG
rnacentral:ncRNA from 2 species